GACUGACCUCAAAUCA
rnacentral:rRNA from 1 species